UACAGAGGGGGCGAGCGUUUGUUCGGAAUUACUGGGCGUAAAGCGUGCGCAGGCGGUUCGUUAUGUCCGAUGUGAAAGCCCCGAGCUUAACUUGGGAAUGGCAUUGGAAACUGGCGGGCUGGAGUGCGGCAGAGGGGGGUGGAAUUCCACGUGUAGCAGUGAAAUGCGUAGAGAUGUGGAGGAACACCGAUGGCGAAGGCAGCCCCCCUGGGCCGACACUGACGCUCGAGGCACGAAAGCGUGGGGAGCAAACAGG
rnacentral:rRNA from 1 species